UAAUUCAAGAUAUUAUAAAUGUUCUCAUUGAGAUCAUGAAACUGCACAAUUUCAAAGGUACUUUAAAUGUUUCAAGUUCGAAGUCUGGGCACAGGCCACCGUAGCGCUUGUGCAAACUGAUCAAGCACUUCUUUCCCGUUUCCCUUUCCGGUGAGUUAGAUCUGCUUCUUUAUGCUGAAAUAAAUUCGAAACAGCUUAUCCAAUGAAUCUGUAAAAUUAAAGCAGGAAUUGAACGAAAUACAAUUACGUGAAAAUCGACAGAAAUGGCCAAAUCGAAGAAUCACACGAACCAUAAUCAGAGCAGAAAAGCUCACCGUAAUGGAAUCCAAAAGCCUAAGAAGUACAGGCAUGAAUCUACCCUUGGUAUGGACUUGAAAUUCUUGCGGAAUCAGCGUUUUGCUAAGAAACACAACCUGAAGCCAAAAGCACAGUUGAAAAGGGCAGCAGAACGUAAAUCCGCACGUGAGGCUAAGAAAUGAAUUGCCUCUGUGUUUUCUCCUGUAUAACAAUAAAAGUAUAAAAUGAAACCCUAAUUCAGUUUUGUAAUCAUGGACACUUACACUUAGAUGAAUCCUACACCUAUUCGAACACUAGUGCAAUAAUCAUUUCCAUGCUUAUUACUUUGACCUUCUUCAUUUUCGUAAUCAGAUGUCUUGUGUAUAGUGCCGUGGAGAUUAUACACCAACCCAGAUU
rnacentral:misc_RNA from 1 species